rnacentral:tRNA from 1 species
GCCGCCUUAGCUCAGUAGGUAGAGCGCUUCCAUGGUAAGGAAGAGGUCGUCGGUUCGAUUCCGACAGGUGGCU